GUUCCCCAUCUUCUUCUUUCCUUUCGCCCCCGAACGAGGGCCGGCCGAUUCGACUGCUUGGAAAGGAAGGCUUCGGGUUCCAGAUCGACUGCCCGAAGCCGAUCUGGUGUUCCAGAUGCGUCCAUCGUGUCAUAGAUUGCUCGGAUCAGAGGCGGAGGUCCGCUUCGGGUCGAGGGUAAGGGGGAGGACGUUAACCUAGCAAAAUGGGGGGUUGCGGACAACGGCGGACUUCGGAAACUUUGCGGAUCAGGUCAAAUCGCCCGACUCACGAUCUCUCAUCUCCGUCCUCUGCGGAAACUUCGGCGGACUCUUUAAGAGAAGUAUGAAUAGAGAGCCAUCCCAAAGAUGGCAACAAGGAUUCCUGCAAUGUUUCUGCUCGUGAAGGGAUCAUGCAGCAUAAUGUAGCCGAUCGAGAGAAUGAGGCAUGUCUUGAGGUGGCCGAGAACUUGAUAUGUCACCGGCGAUGUUACCCCAAUUACCAAAAAGGUGCUGAAGUUAACCGACACAGCAAUCAAGCAAGACAGCACGAUGAAUGCCUGUUAAUAUACAACGAACAUGAAAUCGCAAGUCAAACAAGGUAGAAAGAAAAUGUAUCCUCUCGGCUGUUCCAGUGCAGGGAAUAUUCAUCAGCAAGCAUACCAGAACCAGAGGUUUGUAGUCGUAGGCGAACACGUUUUGUCCGGUGAGCAUCCGGUCCACAAAUGGGCCAGUCGCAACUAGAAUAGAUGCUUGGUAUGGAGAUGAUUGAUACAAAAGUUGCGUGGAGGAAACUUUCAACCUCUUCUGAAUCGUGUUCGUCAUCUGCCAUGCAGAUUUAUGGUCAAGAAAACAUGACGAGUACUGAUCCUUUUUAUGUUUUCUUCUUUCAGGAAAAUCUGAAACAGAAAGGAUACAAUUUGGCUAAUGCAUGUAGUGGCAAUCGCAAGAACGGAGACGAUGGAGCCAAGAAGAUUGAGGUUGAGAUCGGUGACCGAUGCAAUGCCGACUCCGAGCAGGAGGAGAAGCAAAGCCAGCUUGAUACUAUGGCUGCAAACAAAUUCUUAUUUCGGUAAAUUUCAAACACCAACAUAUCAACUCAGAUAAAAGUCUUUCCAGUGAACCUGAAAGUUUUCUUCAAGAACAGAGUCUCCAGCAGGACAGUAAAAGAAUCCAAUGGAGUUGAAGCCGAGGCUGAGGUUCAGGAAGCCAACGGAGGUGCCGUUAAGGAGGCCAAAGAGAACCACCGUCUUCGUGUCGAUUGAUUUGGACUCAAAGAAGCGGAGGCGCUGCGCGACAUGGAGCGUGCAGAAGGUCACCAAUAGAUGCCAGCUCGUUAGCGUUGUAGCUGAGCUGAAGCUACUGACCGAAAGGGAAGCCAAGAGUGCUCAUGAGAACUUUGUUACAUAUGACAAUCGAAACCGAGGAGGCAACCGAAAGAGCCAGCGAUCCGACCACACCUAGCUGGAACCCAGAACUCUCAACCAUCCUUC